rnacentral:rRNA from 1 species
GAUGAACGCUGGCGGCGUGCCUAAUACAUGCAAGUCGAGCGAACGGACGAGAAGCUUGCUUCUCUGAUGUUAGCGGCGGACGGGCGAGUAACACGUGGAUAACCUACCUAUAAGACUGGGAUAACUUCGGGAAACCGGAGCUAAUGCCGGAUAAUAUUUUGAACCGCAUGGUUCAAAAGUGAUAGACGGUCUUGCUGUCACUUAUAGAUGGAUCCGCGCUGCAUUAGCUAGUUGGUAAGGUAACGGCUUACCAAGGCAACGAUGCAUAGCCGACCUGAGAGGGUGAUCGGCCACACUGGAACUGAGACACGGUCCAGACUCCUACGGGAGGCAGCAGUAGGGAAUCUUCCGCAAUGGGCGAAAGCCUGACGGAGCAACGCCGCGUGAGUGAUGAAGGUCUUCGGAUCGUAAAACUCUGUUAUUAGGGAAGAACAUAUGUGUAAGUAACUGUGCACAUCUUGACGGUACCUAAUCAGAAAGACACGGCUAACUACGUG